rnacentral:rRNA from 1 species
UAGCUACAGGCUUAACACAUGCAAGUCGAGGGGCAGCAUGGUCUUAGCUUGCUAAGGCUGAUGGCGACCGGCGCACGGGUGAGUAACACGUAUCCAACCUGCCGUCUACUCUUGGCCAGCCUUCUGAAAGGAAGAUUAAUCCAGGAUGGGAUCAUGAGUUCACAUGUCCGCAUGAUUAAAGGUAUUUUCCGGUAGACGAUGGGGAUGCGUUCCAUUAGAUAGUAGGCGGGGUAACGGCCCACCUAGUCAACGAUGGAUAGGGGUUCUGAGAGGAAGGUCCCCCACAUUGGAACUGAGACACGGUCCAAACUCCUACGGGAGGCAGCAGUGAGGAAUAUUGGUCAAUGGGCGAUGGCCUGAACCAGCCAAGUAGCGUGAAGGAUGACUGCCCUAUGGGUUGUAAACUUCUUUUAUAAAGGAAUAAAGUCGGGUAUGCAUACCCGUUUGCAUGUACUUUAUGAAUAAGGAUCGGCUAACUCCGUGCCAGCAGCCGCGGUAAUACGGAGGAUCCGAGCGUUAUCCGGAUUUAUUGGGUUUAAAGGGAGCGUAGAUGGAUGUUUAAGUCAGUUGUGAAAGUUUGCGGCUCAACCGUAAAAUUGCAGUUGAUACUGGAUGUCUUGAGUGCAGUUGAGGCAGGCGGAAUUCGUGGUGUAGCGGUGAAAUGCUUAGAUAUCACGAAGAACUCCGAUUGCGAAGGCAGCCUGCUAAGCUGCAACUGACAUUGAGGCUCGAAAGUGUGGGUAUCA